rnacentral:rRNA from 1 species
UACGAAGGGGGGCUAGCGUUGCUCGGAAUCACUGGGCGUAAAGCGCACGUAGGCGGAUGUGUCAGUCAGGGGUGAAAUCCCGGAGCUCAACUUCGGAACUGCCUUUUGAUACAGCACGUCUUGAGUCCGAUAGAGGUGGGUGGAAUUCCUAGUGUAGAGGUGAAAAUUCGUAGAUAUUAGGGAAGAACACCGGUGGCGAAAGGCGGCCCCACUGGAUCGGUACUGACGCUGAGGUGCGAAAAGCGUGGGGAGCAAACAGG